rnacentral:rRNA from 1 species
UUGGAGGGCAAGUCUGGUGCCAGCAGCCGCGGUAAUUCCAGCUCCAAUAGCGUAUAUUAAAGUUGCUGCAGUUAAAAGCUCGUAGUUGAAUUUCGGGACCAUCAUGUCGGUCGUGCCUCGGUACGUACUGGUAUUGUUGGUUUCUCCCUUCUGACGAACCAUGAUGUCAUUUAUUUGGUGUUGUGGGGAAUCAGGACUGUUACUUUGAAAAAAUUAGAGUGUUUAAAGCAGGCUCACGCUUGAAUACAUUAGCAUGGAAUAAUGAAAUAGGACGUUUGAUUCUAUUUUGUUGGUUUCUAGGAUCGACGUAAUGAUUAAUAGGGAUAGUUGGGGGCAUUAGUAUUCAAUUGUCAGAGGUGAGAUUCUUGGAUUUAUUGAAGACUAACUACUGCGAAAGCAUUUGCCAAGGAUGUUUUCAUUAAUCAAGAACGAGAGUUAGGGGAUCGAAGACGAUCAGAUACCGUCGUAGUCUUAACCAUAAACUAUGCCGACUAGGGAUCGGAUGAUGUUAAUUUUUUAAUGACUCAUUCGGCGCCUUACGGGAAAC